UGAGUGUCUUCAGAGGAGGGCUCCUAGUGACUUGCUAAAGUAUUGCAUUCUGCAAACAGCAUCCACUCAGGAUAUGGGUGUUGGUUGGAAGACAUUCCUAAGAAAGGUCAAAGAGACAGUGACUGGAUACUGAAAAGUGUGGUACAGGAACAGUGAACAGCAACCUUGUUCCCACCACAGAGACUGAGGGUAAACUUCUGGGGACCAAGACACAGCAUGCUAUAUGCAAAGACUCCAGUGAGGAUCAGAAAAAUUGUGCAAAGAACUUGGCUGGUGCAUGACCAAACAUUCAGCAACGACUCUGUGUAAGGAACACUGUAGUCGCUUCUGGAUGAGAUGCUGAACUCCCCUCAGGUCUCAGGCAUUCAUUCUCCUGGCUUCCAAAGGUUGCUGCUUUCCCAGCAACUCCCAUUAAAGAUGGACUGGUGGGAAGAACAGGAUCUUUGGUCCCUUGAUGGGCUUAGAUGUUUGUGGCCAUUGCUGGGAGCUCAACUUCUUCCAAGAGACUGUUGUCUAGAGCCGUUAACAGUAAACUGAUGAUAUGCAAGUUUCGGAAUGGCUGUGAGAACUGUAACUUUGUUGAGGAAGAUGCUGCUGAUUCCACCUCAGAUAAGCCUGAUCUUGACAAGUGCACUAGCUGGGUCACACUCACGGGUCACACUCAUGGCCUAUUCUCAAGUAUGCCCAUUUUUUGAGGUACUGAUGAGGAAAGAGAUCACAAAAUUUAAAUUACAAAAGUCUGUGUGAAUUACAAAAGGGUGCUAUUUCUUUAACAAGAAUACCACUUUUUUUUUGCUUUCAGAAGUUGAUGUUUCUUUGAGAGUCAUGGAGUUUGGGCCAAGAAAUGUCUUUUUUUAAAUGUAACAACUGUAA